rnacentral:rRNA from 1 species
UACGUAGGGUGCAAGCGUUGCCCGGAUUUAUUGGGCGUAAAGAGCUCGUAGGCGGUUCGGCAAGUCGGGUGUGAAAUUUCGAGGCUCAACCUCGAAACGCCACUCGAUACUGCUGUGACUGGAGUCCGGUAGAGGAGUGCGGAAUUCCUGGUGUAGCGGUGAAAUGCGCAGAUAUCAGGAGGAACACCAACGGCGAAGGCAGCACUCUGGGCCGGUACUGACGCUGAGGAGCGAAAGCGUGGGGAGCGAACAGG